rnacentral:lncRNA from 1 species
GGGCAAUGGGCCGCACGCUACGAGGCCCACACACCCAGAAGGUGGAGCCCCGGCCGGGUUACGAGGACCACCCAGCUGUCUGGAGAGAUGAAGAAAAUGAGGUUCAAAGAGAUGAAGUCUCUUGCCUAAAGUCAGUGACAGAAAGUGACAGAGCUGGGAUGUGAAUCCUGGUCUGACUCUACAGUCCCACAUGGUAGAUGGAACCUCCGAGCAACACCUAAACAAAAGGAGUUGAUGCCUCCGAACAGAGUAAUGUCGCUGGAGACACUAAGCAUCGUCGGCCCCUGGCAGGAGCUCCCUAAAUAUGUGUUGGAUGGAUGGAAGAAAGGAUGGAUAGUUCAGAGUACUUCAGCCUUGAUUCCUCCGCAACAGACACCUGAAACUUGACCCUACAUUGGUUCUUGGCCAUCGUGAUCUUCCUUGGACAGAAUCACCUUUCAGCUCCGGUCAUCAGACUUUCCCAGGGCCCUCAGAAAGCCCUUCAGAGUUGUUACUCACAGGCAGGCUGAGGGAUUCCUUACGGGGUCUGCAGCUCUCCUCACCUCAUCCACAAGUAGGACCGUGGCCUGUUCCUCACUACUGCCCCAGGAUCACUCUGUUCCCAGCCCAGUCCAGCAAUCACUUGUCUAGCUUUCUGGAACCUUGAGUACUUUCUUGAACCAUGAGUCCUGUGACCACCCUAGCAGCUCUAACCCUCCCUUAUCUGAAAGGAAGUGUGAGGUGACCUUGCAGGUCCCAGAGUUGAUUGAAGACCCCAUCCAGAAAGAAGGCACCCUGUGGGAGAGAUUGCAAGGCCUAGGUCUGAAUCCGGAAGCUUCCACCCCAUGGAGAAGGGCUGGCACCAGCCUGGGGCUGGCAGUGGAGCUGAGCUUUGGAGCCAAGGACUGUACUGCAGUGCAGGGAGAGUGAGGCCAGAAAGGCUGAGACAACUCAGGGAAAGAAAACCUCCCUUCUGGCUAAUAGUCAAGCACCGCCUGAGUAGACCAACACUCUCCUGUCCACAGGGGCAGCAGAUGAAGACACAACCAGAGAGGACUAACAGGCCCCCUCAGCUCUCAGUCAGAGGGCAGAGCAACACAGAAUAGACAUUAAAGGAACAGACUUUGAGGCCAGGCAGCCUUGGGUGUGCAUCUGUCCCUACUAAGCCAUGUGACAUUAAACAAGUGAGUCCACCUCUCUGAGCCUCAGGUUCCUCAUCUGUAAAAUGGGGAUUAUAAGAGUUCUUGUUUCUCAGGGACAAUGUGAGGAUUAAGUGAGAUGAUACACAUAGAGAAUGUGGUGCAGUACUGGGCACAUGGCAAAGAUCAGUGAUGCUAGCUACCACUUAUCAUUAGUGUUCCUGUAGACCAGGACUUCUCAACCUUGGCACUAUUCACCUUUUGGGCCAGAAAGUUUUUUUUGUUGUUGUUGUGGGGAGCUGUCCUAUGCAUUUGAGGAUGUUUAACAGCACCCCUGGCCUCUACCCACUAGAUGCCAAUCACACCACACCCCCAGUUUCAACAACCAAAAAUGUCUGCAGAUGGUGCCGAAUGUCUUCUGGAGGGUGAAAUCACUCCCCAGCAGUUGAAAAGCACCACCCUAAACAAUCUGGACUGAAUUUGAAUGUCACAGAUCCCAAGCUCACAGCUCCAUGUAAAGGCCACAAGGCAGGCAGGCCUACUUGCAGAUGAAGGAACGGAAAGAGCAACAAUUACAGAUCAAGCGGCUAGCUCCGGUGUAGACUAAGAGGCGGGAUCUGUAGUCUGCUCUAGGAGCUAACAAGGCCUCUGUGACUCAGUAGGUGACCUCAGUGUCACUCUUUAAUUAUAUGCAAAGUGGUCUUGUGUUAACUCUUAAUUAUUCUAGGGCUCCAAACAAGAAAAUAGGUAGUUGGUAUCUGAUUUCUGGCAUCAAGAUCCUGAUUCAUUGACUGGGAGAAAAUCUGACUCUCCAAAACUCUUUCAGAGUUCAUUUAGCCCUUCAUUUAUGACUCUGGGGAGAUUUCUGAGCGAGAGCUAGGUGUCAGGCCCUGUUCCAGGUGCUGGAGAUGCACAAGAGAACAAAAUAGGCAAAGUUUCCUUUUUAUGGAACUUAUAGCAGGAGAAUAAAGAUAAAAACAAGCAAAAAUAUUUAUCUCUGAUAAGGGCAAUGGAUAAAAAUAAAGUAGAAUAGGCCAGGCACGGUGGCUUACGCCUGUAAUCCUAGCACUUUGGGAGGCCAAGGCGGGCAGAUUGCCUGAGCUCAGGAGUUCGGGACCAGCCUGGGCAACACGGUGAAACCCCGUCUCUACUAAAAUACAAAAAAUUAGCUGGGCGUGGCAGCGUGCACCUGUAGUCCCAGCUACUUGGGAGGCUGAGGCAGGAGAAUUGCUUGAACCUGGGAGGCAGAGGUUGCAGUGAGCUGAGAUCGCGCCACUGCACUCCAGUCUGGGUGACAGAGAGAGACUCCACCUCAAAAAAAUUUAAAAAAGUAGACUAAGAGAACCAAGCAUCGCUGGGUGAGGGGUCUUGUUUUAAAGAGUUUUCUAGGAAGACCUCUCUGAGAAGGCACCAUUUGAGCCAAGACUUGAUGACCUGGCUACUGCAUGAGGAUGGAAGGUGGGGAAGCUGAUGGGAGCAGCGAGAGAGGUGGGAGCAGUUAGAGGCUAUUGCAGCAGUCCAGGUAAGAAGGAAUGGUGGCUUGGACAAGGAGGUGGUAGCAGAGAUAGGGCAGAGAUGGCCAGAUUCCAGAUGUAUUCUGAAGGUAGAGCUGACAGAUUUGCUGAGCAAUUGGAUGCAGAAUAGGAGGGAACCAGAGGCAGUCAAGGAUGACUCCAGACUUGUGAGCUGAACAAUGAGAAGAAUAGAUUGAGAUGGGGAAGUCUGGCAGAGGAAACAAGAAGUUCUGCUUUGGCCAUGUUAAGUUUGAGAUGCCUAUUAGAUAUUCCAAGUGGAGAUGUCAAAUAUGCAGUUGGAUAUAUGAGUUCUGGGAAGAGGGCCAGCCUUGAGCUAUAAUUUGGAGAGUCAUCAGCUUAUAGGUGACAUUUAAAGCAAUGGGACUGGAUGAGAUCACCACUGAGGGCGGAGUACGUGUAGAUGGAAGUAAUGCUUAUUCAGCUAGCAAUAUUCUCUGAGCGUUUACUAUGGGCCAGGCCCGGAGCUAGGUGCUAGGUACAGAGAUGGACUUCCUUUGGCACCUGCCCCAGAGAAGCUCUAUUACUUACUUAAUUUUCCUGCCUAAGUGCUUUGGCCAUGUAGAGGAUGAGCCUUGAGUUCCUACCCUGUCUUUUAGUCACUUAGUCCUUUUUUUCUCUUUUUUCUUUUUUUGAGACAGAGUUUCGUUCUUGUUGCCCAGGCUGGAGUGCAAUGGCAUGAUCUUGGCUCACCACAACCUCCGCCUCCUGGGUUCAAGCAAUCCUCCUGUCUCAGCCUCCUCAGUAGGUGGGAUUACCGGCAUGCACCACCACAUCGGGCUAAUUUUUUGUAUUUUUAGUUGACAUGGGGUUUCUCCAUGUUGGUCAGGCUGGCCUUGAACUCCCGACCUCAGGUGAUCCACCCGCCUCGGCCUCCCAAAGUGCUGGGAUUACCUGCGUGAACCACCGCACCCUGCAUCAUUUUUUCAGCAGACAUUUGUUGAGCACCUGCUUGAUACAAGGCACCCAUCUAGGCACAAGGGACAUGAAAGGAAGCGAGUCAGACACAGUUCCUAUCCUUUUGGAGUUUAGAUUUUAUGUGUGGAGACAGACAUUGAACAGGAUGCACACAGGAUCACAGGAUGUGACAAAUGCAGUGGAGGAGAAAGAUAGGCUGGUGUGAGAGCUGUUAAUGGGGGCUCUGCUCUAGCCGGAGAGGCAAGGAAGGCUUUUCCAGGAGUCACAUUAGAGGAACAAUCUAUACAAGCAGGGAACUAGGCUGGGGGAAGUGCAGGGAGCUUUUUAGGUGGAAAGAACAGCAUGUUCAAAGGCCUGAAGCUGGAAGGAGGCUGGCUGACUUGGCUCCAGAGAAGCUGUUGGGGGAGUGUGGGAGAGACAAGACAGGGAGUAGGGGUGGGGAGAAGCCAGACCUUUGGAGUCUUGUAAGUCUGGUUAAGACACGUGGACUGUCUUCUGCGGCCACCAGUGGCUCUGUUGAGGUGGGAAAUUAAAGAAAAACAAAUUUUCCUUUGUUUUAUGGAAUGAGUUUAUAGAUUCCUAUUCUCUGUAACCAGUGACUUCAAGUAUUGUUUUAUCUAAGCAGUGGAGUGAAGGUCAUGAGCCUCUGAGCUGGCCUGAGUUACGGCCACCUGGGCGCCAUAGUGAAGGUUAUGGGAUAAGUCUGUGCCUGGGCAAACCUAGAUAACGGACAUCUGGGUUGCUUGGCAACGGUCACGUGCAAUCCUGAGUUUGUCCUGCCUCUAUAUCCCUGCUUUCAUGCCACUGUAAGCUUGCUUCAAGCUAGCCCACCCCCUUUUGUGAAGUGUGUAUAGAAGUCAAGUGCUGUCUUUCUUCCGGGCCCAGUCUUUUGGACGUUGAGUCAGCUGGGCCUGAGUGCACUCAAUAAAUGAUUCUCCUGUUUUAGAUUGAGACCAUCCUGACUAACACGGUGAAACCCCGUCUCUACUAAAAAUACAAAAACAAAAUUAGCCGGGUGUGGUGGUGGGCGCCUGUAGUCCCAGCUACUCGGGAGGCUGAGGCAGGAGAAUGGUGUGAACCCAGUAAAUACUGCACAUGUGUAAUGAGCCGAGAUCGCGCCACUGCACUCCAGCCUGGGCAACAGAGCAAGAGUCCGUCUCAAAAAAAAAAAAAAAAAAAAAAAAAAAAAAAAAAAAAAGGCCGGGCACGGUGGCUUACGCCUGUAAUCCCAGCACUUUCAGAGGCUGAGGCGGGUGGAUCACGAGGUCAGAGAUCGAGACCAUCCUGGCUAACACAGUGAAACCCUGUCUCUACUAAAAAUACAAAAAAUUAGCCGGGUGUGGUGGCGGGCGCCUGUAGUCCCAGCUACUAGGGAGGCUGAAGCAGGACAAUGGUGUGAACCUGGGAGGCAGAGCUUGCAGUGAGCCGAGAUGGCGCCAUUGCACUCCAGCCUGGGCGACAGAGCGAGACUGCAUCUCAAAAAAAAAAAAAAAAAAGAUUCUCCUGUUUUAACCCGAGGUCUCUCUCUCAUCCUCCUGAAUCCCACAACACUGAAAGGUAGUGGGUAGGGAUUCAUAUGAUCAGAGGGCCACUGAAGUGGGCAGGUUAGUAGGGCAGCCAGGACACCAGUGAGGAGGUUAUUGAUUGUUGCCUCUUUGCUUCAGGCUCUUGGUUUCUCCAUUUUAAACAUCUGUUUGCACUCCAGGUGCAGUGUCUCAUGCCUAUAAUCCUAGCGCUUUGGGAGGCUAAGGCAGGAGGAUGCCUUACCCAGGAGAUGGAGACCAGCCUGGGCAAUGUGGCGAGACC